rnacentral:rRNA from 1 species
CCGGAAUUACUGGGCGUAAAGAGCUCGUAGGUGGUUUGUCUCGUUGUUCGUGAAAUCUCACGGCUUAACUGUGAGCGUGCGGGCGAUACGGGCAGACUUGAGUACUGCAGGGGAGACUGGAAUUCCUGGUGUAGCGGUGGAAUGCGCAGAUAUCAGGAGGAACACCGGUGGCGAAGGCGGGUCUCUGGGCAGUAACUGACGCUGAGGAGCGAAAGCGUGGGGAGCGAACAGGAUUAGAUACCCUGGUAGUCCACGCCGUAAACGGUGGGUACUAGGUGUGGGUUUCCUUCCUUGGGAUCCGUGCCGUAGCUAACGCAUUAAGUACCCCGCCUGGGGAGUACGGCCGCAAGGCUAAAACUCAGAGAAAUUGACGGGGGCCCGCAGCAAGCGGCGGAGCAUGUGGAUUAAUUCGAUGCAACGCGAAGAACCUUACCUGGGUUUGACAUGCACAGGACGCCGGCAGAGAUGUCGGUUCCCUUGUGGCCUGUGUGCAGGUGGUGCAUGGCUGUCGUCAGCUCGUGUCGUGAGAUGUUGGGUUAAGUCCCGCAACGAGCGCAACCAUUGUCUCAUGUUGCCAGCGGGUAAUGCCGGGGACUCGUGAGAGACUGCCGGGGUCAACUCGGAGGAAGGUGGGGAUGACGUCAAGUCAUCAUGCCCCUUAUGUCCAGGGCUUCACACAUGCUACAAUGGCCGGUACAAAGGGCUGCGAUGCCGCGAGGUUAAGCGAAUCCUUUUAAAGCCGGUCUCAGUUCGGAUCGGGGUCUGCAACUCGACCCCGUGAAGUCGGAGUCGCUAGUAAUCGCAGAUCAGCAACGCUGCGGUGAUACGUUCCCGGGC